UUGCAUAUCAUAGAGCGGGAGAAAUGCAGAUAGAACCAGAUG
rnacentral:sRNA from 1 species